AUAAGUUACGUUAAUAUUAAUAUUUUCUUGAGUAACAAUGGGAUGAUUAAGAUUUUAAGUAGAAAAAUACACAAAUUCCAUGCACCAAACUGUCACGGACGAGUUCCUUUAUAUGACGUCGUGUGUAUAUAAGAACCUCAAAGCUCUAAACAAAUCCUCCUCACCUACUCAAAGAUCUAGACUCUUCUCUGCUUCUCUCUUUUUUCCUUAGUACCGCUGCUAGAUCUUGACCGCUGCCACUACUCUAGUCGUCGUCUUCUUCUUCUUCUUUUUCUCUAUCUAUGUGUUUAAUCACUUCCUUGAUCUUCAAAGCAGUGUUCAUUAUCGUUCUUUUUGGUUUUUGGAUUCUUGGAUGGCUUUCUGCUGUUCUUUUUCUGAGUUCUUGAAUUCUUUCUCUUAUCUGGUUUUUUCUCAAAUCUUGAUCUAACGGUCUCUCUUUAAUAACUAUCACCAAAAAAUCUUACCCAAAAACCCCAAAUCCAUGAAUUACCAAAAAAGAAAAAAGUAGUUGAAGCUGUUGGUUUUGUGUGUUUCUACUUUUCUUGCCUUUUCUUUUUCUUCUCUUUGUAUUUAGAACUUUUUUUUUUAAUCUUUUUUUCUCUAAACAAUUAAGAGUCUGUGAUCUUUCUUUUUCAUGAUUCUUGGGUUCUGUUUUGUAUUCAUAUGGAUAUAUAAAAAUUGCCAUCCUUUAAAUGCCACUUGUACGCCCUUAUAAUCACAUAAAAAUCAGUAGAUCUGAACCUGUACUGCUCCUGUUAACCUUUUGUGGUUCUCUAAAAUUUUUAUUUGCCAUAAAACCCAAAUCCUAUAUUCCUAAUGCAUGGAUUGUUCAAGUUCAAGUUCAAAAACAGUCAUUGUUUGCUGCUGCAGCAUCACCAAGAUUCACAUGCAAAUGCAGUUCUUUUUCUUCUCUCUCUCUCUCUCUCUUUUUUUCUUUGUUUUUGAAGGAUGAGAGUGAGAAUCUUGAUGAUGCUGCAUCGGCCAUAAAUGGCUAUACCUAAACUAUGUAGCAGCUGGGUCCAAGAUUUUGUACAUCUAAUUAAACAAGGGAAUAAAGGAUUUUAUUUUGAGCACAGGUACAAAUUAAGAUCAUGUAUCUAUAUAUAUGGGAUAGAAGUUUCAAUUGUUGUGAGCAUUAGUGUAGUUAGGGUUUGUUUUGAUAAGUAAAAAUUUUGUUGAAUAUUUUAGCAUGUAUUAUCCAGCUAACA